GCCCAGGUAGCUCAGUAGGUAGAGCAGCGGACUGAAAAUCCGCGUGUCGAUGGUUCGAUUCCGUCCCUGGGCA
rnacentral:tRNA from 1 species